rnacentral:rRNA from 1 species
CUUUUGACGGUAGAUCUCUUGGCUCACGCAUCGAUGAAGAACGCAGCCAGCUGCGAUAAGUAGUGUGAAUUGCAGAAUUCAGUGAAUCAUCGAAUCUUUGAACGCAAAUGGCGCUCUUGGGUUCUCCCAGGAGCAUGUCUGUCUGAGUGUC